AUUUACUGUUUGGACAGCCAUAAGUUUUAGUCACCAAGAGUCUUUUGCUUCCUCCUUGGCUUUAGAACAUUUAAUCAAUAUUCACAGGAUUGGCUCAGAGCUUUUUUUUUUUCUCCCUUCCUCCUGUAGCUGGGGACUCAAGCUGGGGAGAACCAACAUAUAAAAUCCUCAGUGGGAAAAAAAAGAAAAGAAAAAUUCUGGGAACCCAGAGCCUAGCCCACAGGGCAGAUACUCUGAGAGAUUCUCCUAACAGACAAUGA
rnacentral:lncRNA from 1 species